rnacentral:rRNA from 1 species
GAUGAACGCUAGCGGGAGGCCUAACACAUGCAAGCCGAGCGGUAGAGUUUCUUCGGAAACUUGAGAGCGGCGCACGGGUGCGUAACACGUGUGCAACCCACCUUUAUCUGGGGGAUAGCCUUUCGAAAGGAAGAUUAAUACCCCAUAAUAUAAUGAUUGGCAUCAAUUAUUAUUGAAAACUCCGGUGGAUAGAGAUGGGCACGCGCAAGAUUAGAUAGUUGGUGAGGUAACGGCUCACCAAGUCAAUGAUCUUUAGGGGUCCUGAGAGGGAGAUCCCCCACACUGGUACUGAGACACGGACCAGACUCCUACGGGAGGCAGCAGUGAGGAAUAUUGGACAAUGGGUGAGAGCCUGAUCCAGCCAUCCCGCGUGAAGGAUGACGGUCCUAUGGAUUGUAAACUUCCUUUGUACAGGGAUAAACCUACCCUCGUGAGGGUAGCUGAAGGUACUGUACGAAUAAGCACCGGCUAACUCCGUG